CUCUGUGACUCCUACGGGAGGCAGCAUGGGGAAUAUUGCACAAUGGGGGAAACCCUGAUGCAGCCAUGCCGCGUGUGUGAAGAAGGCCUUCGGGUUGUAAAGCACUUUCAGUAGGGAGGAAGGUAGUGUAGUUAACACCUGCAUUAUUUGACGUUACCUACAGAAGAAGCACCGGCUAACUCCGUGCCAGCAGCCGCGGUAAUACGGAGGGUGCGAGCGUUAAUCGGAAUUACUGGGCGUAAAGCGCAUGCAGGCGGCCUGUUAAGUCAGAUGUGAAAACCCCGGGGCUUAAACCUCGGAAUUGCAUUUGAAACUGGCAGGCUAGAGUCUUGUAGAGGGGGUAGAAUUUCAGGUGUAGCGGUGAAAUGCGUAGAGAUCUGAAGGAAUACCAGUGGCGAAGGCGGCCCCCUGGACAAAGACUGACGCUCAGAUGCGAAAGCGUGGGGAGCAAACAGGAUUAGAUACCCUGGUAG
rnacentral:rRNA from 1 species